AACGGUGUUGAUACCAGCGUUAAUGCAUUGAAUCCCAUCAGAAAUUCAUAUUUAAGCAUGCUUGGGAUAGAGUAGUACUAGAAUGGAUGACCUCCCGAAAAUUCCUAGUGUAUUUA
rnacentral:rRNA from 1 species